rnacentral:rRNA from 1 species
AUUGAACGCUGGCGGCAUGCCUUACACAUGCAAGUCGAACGGCAGCACGGGAGCAAUCCUGGUGGCGAGUGGCGAACGGGUGAGUAAAGUAUCAGAACGUGCCCAGUCGUGGGGGAUAACGUAGCGAAAGUUACGCUAAUACCGCAUACGAUCUAUGGAUGAAAGCGGGGGAUCGCAAGACCUCGCGCGAUUGGAGCGGCCGAGAUCAUAUUAGGUAGUUGGUGGGGUAAAGGCUCACCAAGCCGACGAUCUGUAGCUGGUCUGAGAGGACGACCAGCCACACUGGGACUGAGACACGGCCCAGACUCCUGCGGGAGGCAGCAGUGGGGAAUUGUGGACAAUGGGCGAAAGCCUGAUCCAGCCAUGCCGCGUGCAGGAUGAAGGCCUUCGGGUUGUAAACUGCUUUUGUACGGAACGAAAAGGUUUGGCCUAAUAAGCUGAGCUCAUGACGGUACCGUAAGAAUAAGCACCGGCUAACUACGUGCCAGCCGCCGCCGUAA